UGCCAGCCGCCGCGGUAAUACGAAGGGACCUAGCGUAGUUCGGAAUUACUGGGCUUAAAGAGUUCGUAGGCGGAUUAAUAAGUUAGAGGUGAAAUCCCAGGGCUCAACCCUGGAACUGCCUUUAAAACUGUUAGUCUUGAGAUCGAGAGAGGUGAGUGGAAUUCCAAGUGUAGAGGUGAAAUUCGUAGAUAUUUGGAGGAACACCAGUGGCGAAGGCGGCUCACUGGCUCGAUACUGACGCUGAGGUACGAAAGUGUGGGGAGCAAACAGCAUUAGAUA
rnacentral:rRNA from 1 species